ensembl:snRNA U2 U2 spliceosomal RNA
AUCGCUUCUCGGCCUUUUGGCUAAGAUCAAGUGUAGUAUUUGUUCUUAUCAGUAAAAUAAAGAUACUGCUGGAAACUACUGGCCACAGAAUUAAAUCCAAACUUCUUAGCUCAGUAUUUAAUAUCUGUAAUGCUCUAGCUCAGAGGUUGGCUGACUUUGGCCCAGAGGCCAAUCCAGCCAACUGCUA